GUCACACUCCUACGGGAGGCAGCAGUGGGAAUAUUGCACAAUGGGCGCAAGCCUGAUGCAGCCAUGCCGCGUGUAUGAAGAAGGCCUUCGGGUUGUAAAGUACUUUCAGCAGUGAGGAAGGCAGGUACGUUAAUAGCGUGCUUGUUUGACGUUAGCUGCAGAAGAAGCACCGGCUAACUCCGUGCCAGCAGCCGCGGUAAUACGGAGGGUGCGAGCGUUAAUCGGAAUUACUGGGCGUAAAGCGCAUGCAGGUGGUUGUUAAGUCAGAUGUGAAAGCCCCGGGGCUCAACCUCGGAAUUGCAUUUGAAACUGGCAGACUAGAGUACUGUAGAGGGGGUAGAAUUUCAGGUGUAGCGGUGAAAUGCGUAGAGAUCUGAAGGAAUACCGGUGGCGAAGGCGGCCCCCUGGACAGAUACUGACACUCAGAUGCGAAAGCGUGGGGAGCAAACAGGAUUAGAUACCCCUGGUGG
rnacentral:rRNA from 1 species